UAGGGAAUAUUGCACAAUGGGGGAAACCCUGAUGCAGCGACGCCGCGUGAGUGAUGAAGGCCUUCGGGUCGUAAAGCUCUGUCGUAUGGGACUAACACAAUGAAGGUACCAUGCAAGAAAGGAUCGGCUAACUUCGUGCCAGCAGCCGCGGUAAGACGAGGGAUCCUAGCGUUGUUCGGAAUUAUUGGGCGUAAAGCGGGUGUAGGCGGAUUUAUAAGUCAGGUGUGAAAUCCCAGGGCUCAACCCUGGAAGUGCACUUGAUACUGUAGAUCUUGAGUGUGGUAGAGGUUACUGGAAUUCCUGGUGUAGUGGUGAAAUGCGUAGAUAUCAGGAGGAACACCCGUGGCGAAGGCGGAUCUCUGGACCGGUUCUGACGCUGAGGAGCGAAAGCUAGGGGAGCAAACAGGAUUAGAUACCCUGGUAGUCCCUGAGCGGGCUGGCAAGGCGCAU
rnacentral:rRNA from 1 species